GAUUAAGUUAUUAAGGGCGCACGGUGGAUGCCUUGGCACUAGAAGCCGAUGAAGGACGUUACUAACGACGAUAUGCUUUGGGGAGCUGUAAGUAAGCUUUGAUCCAGAGAUUUCCGAAUGGGGAAACCCAGCAUGAGUUAUGUCAUGUUAUCGAUAUGUGAAUACAUAGCAUAUCAGAAGGCACACCCGGAGAACUGAAACAUCUUAGUACCCGGAGGAAGAGAAAGAAAAUUCGAUUCCCUUAGUAGCGGCGAGCGAAACGGGAAGAGCCCAAACCAACAAGCUUGCUUGUUGGGGUUGUAGGACACUCUAUACGGAGUUACAAAGGACGACAUUAGACGAAUCAUCUGGAAAGAUGAAUCAAAGAAGGUAAUAAUCCUGUAGUCGAAAAUGUUGUCUCUCUUGAGUGGAUCCUGAGUACGACGGAGCACGUGAAAUUCCGUCGGAAUCUGGGAGGACCAUCUCCUAAGGCUAAAUACUCUCUAGUGACCGAUAGUGAACCAGUACCGUGAGGGAAAGGUGAAAAGCACCCCGGAAGGGGAGUGAAAUAGAACCUGAAACCGUGUGCUUACAAGUAGUCAGAGCCCGUUAAUGGGUGAUGGCGUGCCUUUUGUAGAAUGAACCGGCGAGUUACGAUUUGAUGCAAGGUUAAGCAGUAAAUGUGGAGCCGUAGCGAAAGCGAGUCUGAAUAGGGCGUUUAGUAUUUGGUCGUAGACCCGAAACCAGGUGAUCUACCCUUGGUCAGGUUGAAGUUCAGGUAACACUGAAUGGAGGACCGAACCGACUUACGUUGAAAAGUGAGCGGAUGAACUGAGGGUAGCGGAGAAAUUCCAAUCGAACCUGGAGAUAGCUGGUUCUCUCCGAAAUAGCUUUAGGGCUAGCCUCAAGUGAUGAUUAUUGGAGGUAGAGCACUGUUUGGACGAGGGGCCCCUCUCGGGUUACCGAAUUCAGACAAACUCCGAAUGCCAAUUAAUUUAACUUGGGAGUCAGAACAUGGGUGAUAAGGUCCGUGUUCGAAAGGGAAACAGCCCAGACCACCAGCUAAGGUCCCAAAAUAUAUGUUAAGUGGAAAAGGAUGUGGCGUUGCCCAGACAACUAGGAUGUUGGCUUAGAAGCAGCCAUCAUUUAAAGAGUGCGUAAUAGCUCACUAGUCGAGUGACACUGCGCCGAAAAUGUACCGGGGCUAAACAUAUUACCGAAGCUGUGGAUUGUCCUUUGGACAAUGGUAGGAGAGCGUUCUAAGGGCGUUGAAGCAUGAUCGUAAGGACAUGUGGAGCGCUUAGAAGUGAGAAUGCCGGUGUGAGUAGCGAAAGACGGGUGAGAAUCCCGUCCACCGAUUGACUAAGGUUUCCAGAGGAAGGCUCGUCCGCUCUGGGUUAGUCGGGUCCUAAGCUGAGGCCGACAGGCGUAGGCGAUGGAUAACAGGUUGAUAUUCCUGUACCACCUAUAAUCGUUUUAAUCGAUGGGGGGACGCAGUAGGAUAGGCGAAGCGUGCGAUUGGAUUGCACGUCUAAGCAGUAAGGCUGAGUAUUAGGCAAAUCCGGUACUCGUUAAGGCUGAGCUGUGAUGGGGAGAAGACAUUGUGUCUUCGAGUCGUUGAUUUCACACUGCCGAGAAAAGCCUCUAGAUAGAAAAUAGGUGCCCGUACCGCAAACCGACACAGGUAGUCAAGAUGAGAAUUCUAAGGUGAGCGAGCGAACUCUCGUUAAGGAACUCGGCAAAAUGACCCCGUAACUUCGGGAGAAGGGGUGCUCUUUAGGGUUAACGCCCAGAAGAGCCGCAGUGAAUAGGCCCAAGCGACUGUUUAUCAAAAACACAGGUCUCUGCUAAACCGUAAGGUGAUGUAUAGGGGCUGACGCCUGCCCGGUGCUGGAAGGUUAAGAGGAGUGGUUAGCUUCUGCGAAGCUACGAAUCGAAGCCCCAGUAAACGGCGGCCGUAACUAUAACGGUCCUAAGGUAGCGAAAUUCCUUGUCGGGUAAGUUCCGACCCGCACGAAAGGCGUAACGAUUUGGGCACUGUCUCAACGAGAGACUCGGUGAAAUCAUAGUACCUGUGAAGAUGCAGGUUACCCGCGACAGGACGGAAAGACCCCGUGGAGCUUUACUGUAGCCUGAUAUUGAAAUUCGGCACAGCUUGUACAGGAUAGGUAGGAGCCUUUGAAACGUGAGCGCUAGCUUACGUGGAGGCGCUGGUGGGAUACUACCCUAGCUGUGUUGGCUUUCUAACCCGCACCACUUAUCGUGGUGGGAGACAGUGUCANGCGGGCAGUUUGACUGGGGCGGUCGCCUCCUAAAAGG
rnacentral:rRNA from 1 species